rnacentral:rRNA from 1 species
UACGUAGGGUGCGAGCGUUAAUCGGAAUUACUGGGCGUAAAGCGUGCGCAGGCGGUUUUGUAAGCCAGAUGUGAAAGCCCCGGGCUUAACCUGGGAAUGGCAUUUGGGACUGCAAGGCUUGAGUGCGGCAGAGGAGACUGGAAUUCCCGGUGUAGCAGUGAAAUGCGUAGAUAUCGGGUGGAAUACCGAUGGCGAAGGCAGGUCUCUGGGCUGACACUGACGCUCAUGCACGAAAGCGUGGGGAGCAAACAGG